UCUCCCCAGCUCAGUUCUGUAUCGCCCUUUUCCUCCUUUUUUUAUAUAUUCAUUUACAUUUUUCUCGAUUAUUAACACUAGCAAGCGGUAGGAUGCACCGUGGAACAUCACAUUAUGGAGCAGGCGUUGGGGUUCUCGUCGCUGGAGAGCUGCGGUGCGGUCGCCAUCAUCUCCAUGCGGUAACCGUACGGCUCGUAGUAGUUCAUCAUAUUCACCUCAGAUACCGGCGCCGGCGCCACUAGCGCCGCCACCGUCGGCGCCGGUGGCUGUGCGGGCUUCCCUUCUCAAAAUUCUAGAUCGUAUAACUCUUCUCCCAUAUGCUGCUACAGUGAACAAUAGCAUAUCAUGGCACGCUUGUGG
rnacentral:lncRNA from 1 species